GGCGAACGGGUGAGUAAUACAUCGGAACGUGCCCGAUCGUGGGGGAUAACGAGGCGAAAGCUUUGCUAAUACCGCAUAAGAUCUAUGGAUGAAAGCAGGGGACCGCAAGGCCUUGCGCGAACGGAGCGGCCGAUGGCAGAUUAGGUAGUUGGUGGGGUAAAGGCUUACCAAGCCUACGAUCUGUAGCUGGUCUGAGAGGACGACCAGCCACACUGGGACUGAGACACGGCCCAGACUCCUACGGGAGGCAGCAGUGGGGAAUUUUGGACAAUGGGCGCAAGCCUGAUCCAGCCAUGCCGCGUGCAGGAUGAAGGCCUUCGGGUUGUAAACUGCUUUUGUACGGAACGAAAAGCCUUCUUCUAAUAAAGGGAGGUCAUGACGGUACCGUAAGAAUAAGCACCGGCUAACUACGUGCCAGCAGCCGCGGUAAUACGUAGGGUGCAAGCGUUAAUCGGAAUUACUGGGCGUAAAGCGUGCGCAGGCGGUGAUGUAAGACAGAUGUGAAAUCCCCGGGCUCAACCUGGGAACUGCAUUUGUGACUGCAUCGCUGGAGUACGGCAGAGGGGGAUGGAAUUCCGCGUGUAGCAGUGAAAUGCGUAGAUAUGCGGAGGAACACCGAUGGCGAAGGCAAUCCCCUGGGCCUGUACUGACGCUCAUGCACGAAAGCGUG
rnacentral:rRNA from 2 species